UUCGUACAUGGCGAUGGCUGAUCUGGAGGUGAAGCCCAUGUCCACCAACUCUGGUAUCACUCUGCUUAGAGAGUUUAAUGUCGUGGCAGUUGGGGCUAUUGAGGAGAAACUGGUCGAUUUGGGCAUGGAUGAGGGUCUCAAGUUGCUCAAGGCUUCUCUGCAAUCCAAGACGGUUCUGACUGAUGUCUUCCUUCCAACCGAUGGAGAUCACUAAAAGAAGCUAGUUUUUGCAUUGUAUUGGUCUAGUAAUUUCUAGGUGCAAGUGUAUGAACCAUUACUCAAAUCUGGUGUGGCAGUGUGUUUAUUGUGUUAUAUAUGCUUUAUGAAAUCAGUAAGUAAACUUGUGUUGUUAGAUUA